GAUGAACGCUGGCGGCGUGCCUAAUACAUGCAAGUCGAGCGAACGGACGAGAAGCUUGCUUCUCUGAUGUUAGCGGCGGACGGGUGAGUAACACGUGGAUAACCUACCUAUAAGACUGGGAUAACUUCGGGAAACCGGAGCUAAUACCGGAUGAUAUUUUGAACCGCAUGGUUCAAAAGUGAAAGACGGUCUUGCUAUCACUUAUAGAUGGAUCCGCGCUGCAUUAGCUAGUUGGUAAGGUAACGGCUUACCAAGGCAACGAUGCAUAGCCGACCUGGGAGGGUGAUCGGCCACACUGGAACUGAGACACGGUCCAGACUCCUACGGGAGGCAGCAGUAGGGAAUCUUCCGCAAUGGGCGAAAGCCUGACGGAGCAACGCCGCGUGAGUGAUGAAGGUCUUCGGAUCGUAAAACUCUGUUAUUAGGGAAGAACAUAUGUGUAAGUAACUGUGCACAUCUUGACGGUACCUAAUCAGAAAGCCACGGCUAACUACGUG
rnacentral:rRNA from 1 species